GAUGAACGCUGGCGGCGUGCCUAAUACAUGCAAGUCGAGCGAACAGACGAGGAGCUUGCUCCUCUGACGUUAGCGGCGGACGGGUGAGUAACACGUGGAUAACCUACCUAUAAGACUGGGAUAACUUCGGGAAACCGGAGCUAAUACCGGAUAAUAUAUUGAACCGCAUGGUUCAAUAGUGAAAGACGGUUUUGCUGUCACUUAUAGAUGGAUCCGCGCCGGAUUAGCUAGUUGGUAAGGUAACGGCUUACCAAGGCGACGAUGCGUAGCCGACCUGAGAGGGUGAUCGGCCACACUGGAACUGAGACACGGUCCAGACUCCUACGGGAGGCAGCAGUAGGGAAUCUUCCGCAAUGGGCGAAAGCCUGACGGAGCAACGCCGCGUGAGUGAUGAAGGUCUUCGGAUCGUAAAACUCUGUUAUUAGGGAAGAACAAAUGUGUAAGUAACUACGCACGUCUUGACGGUACCUAAUCAGAAAGCCACGGCUAACUACGUG
rnacentral:rRNA from 1 species